AGUUUAGUGUGAUUAAAACAACUUUAACUGUUAGCUAACGUUAGCUCGCGGCUCCCGAACGUCUGUUUGGACCGUUUGGACCUCUGACGGCCCGGACAGGUUGUUAGUAUUUAGGUUGGCAUGCGCACACGCAGAUGGACGUGUUGUGGCAUUGCACUGUUUCCGAUUGGACGCCUUUUAUGGGAGCUCCGCCCCAUUGUGUGAUAGGCCUACACCUGGUCAGUAACACAAUUCACUCUGGAUUUCCACGCCUGACUCAUCUCAUCUGAGUUUCGAAAUAGAACAAUGGAAAGUCUUAAAGAUUACUGCAGAGUUGUGCUGAUUUUACUGAAGCAUAUUACAGAGCAGUCACUCACACUGACCUUUAGUGUGGAAACAUGAAAGGGCCGGGUCGCAGGGGCAGUAGCGAAGUAUGCCAGAUGCCCGAAACCACACACAGCUGGCUCCUUUCAACUCAAAGAGAAGCGCCUCUACUCUGGGCUGUGGGACGUCUGAGCUCCUUACCCUAUCUUAAAGGCUGAGCCCAGUCACUGCGCGAAGACAUGCUGCAGCAUUGACGACCACUUGAGGGGAAGAGAGAGUCAGCAACUGUGCCCCUUUGCUGUCGGCAGAACACAGACUGACACUAACUACAUCAGUGUGGACAAACGGCUCAUCUGCUGACAGGGAACCGGCUCACUAGCUGCAUUUGAUGAACUGUUUAAAAUCUCACUUUGUGUUCAUCCUUUCCUAAGAAGAGUCCCUGGCCCAGACGUACACCAUUGUGCAGACAACCUAUAACAUCGACUUUGGGAAAAAACAACUCAUACCCCUAGAGCUUUUAAACUGCAAGCUAAACUUAAUGAUGUGAAUUUCAGGAUGCUUUUGUGUUUUGUUCGUCAGGUGCACCAUAUGAGCAAAAGUUUACCUUUGCAUUUAAUUAACAUCCUUUUUUUAAUGCUGGUAAACAAAAGGUGCAGUGUAAAGUGCUUUGAUUUUUAAUUACGUUUUCUGUAUCGGCUCAUGCUUGAAGCAGGUUUAACACAUUUACUUUUCAGUUUUCUCUGGUUUCAGAACUAAGAGAUGCAACAUGCAGAUAUUUUUUUUUUUUCUUCAGCCAGGCCUUGCACAUGUGCAGCCAUUAUCUGCUAUCUCACUUAAGUGAGUCACUGGGAGAGGUCACCAUUAAAACACACAUAAUAUGGACGAAUAAAACCAUUUAGUCUGAGAGAUCUGGAUAGUGGCAAGGGUGCUAAAUGUCAACAUAGUUAAACAUUUUCUCAACUAACUCAGUGAAGCUGAAUGGAAAUAGGAUCAGAAAAUAGGAAAGGCCUGACCAUCUACAGUAGAGGUAGGCAACCUGCGGACCGGAGCCACACACUACAGCGGCUCCCUUUUUUCUCCUCGAUUUGCUAUUUUUUUAUCUCAUAAAUCUGUGAUUUUUUUUUCUCCUAGAUUUGCCAAUUUAAAUUUCAUAAAUUUGUGACUUUCAUACUUGGCCCUAAUUGGCAAAAUUUAGAUGAUUAGAGGAUGACCAAAGAAUUAUACGAAAUAAGGUUGUUGUUUUUUUACAUUAUAAUUUUAAUUUAUCAGUGAUGUAUGCCCAAAUUAAUUUGUAUUCUUCAAUUGUAAAAAUAUGGUUUAUAAACAGCACAAAAACAUUAAAAAAACAUUUUAGUCAA